rnacentral:lncRNA from 1 species
GCAUAUUAUGUUAUGGUAGGAAAAAUGCUAUAAUCCAUGUUUCUAGGAGUCUGACACCUUUUUUUUUUUUGAAUCUGGGAACAAAUUAGUUCCUUCCGUUUUCCUUUCUACACAAGCUAGAAAACAAAACUCAGCUCAGUGCCUCUGAAGAGCAAGUCAGAAUGGAGAUGAAACGAGGAAAGUAUAUGCCACAAGAAGCAUCCUCGGGACUUCAUGAGGUGGUGGACCAUGGAGAGGAAAGAAUGUUCUCCAGAUCAACGCGUUGAAGAGAUGAGAGGAUGCACCCUACUGCUAUGCCCAGACUACCGAAUGGGACGUGUUGGCUGCACAACUCAAGAUUAUUUCCAAUUAAUACCAUCACAGAUGAUUGAGAAAGGAAGGAAAUAAAAUUGAACCAGGAAGACAAAUAUCAAUCACAAAUUAUGUAAGAAUCUGAGCCAACAGAUAAGAAAAUCAACUAUAUCAUAAAAGCAUAAACUCAAGCACAGAGCUGUCAUGAACUAAUGCACGGCGAUCAUAAACGAGUUCCAAGACUGUAGUAAAUCAUUGCCCCGUGAUGGACUUUGGCUUCCUCAUCUCUAAAUUAUGGUGUUGGGUGCAGUCUCUAAGCUCCCUUCUAUCUCUGAUUCCAUGAGUCAGUAUUUAAGACCUCCCUUCACGUAGCAAAAUAAACAUAUCAACCAUGUUUCUGAGACCA